rnacentral:lncRNA from 1 species
AGCUCCUGCAAAGGGGCCCAGAAUGGUGGGGAAGCAGAACUUCUGCCUCCAACUCACUUUCUCACCGUGCAACUGCGGAUCCAGAGGAAUCUCUGCAUGUGAGGCUCUGCCAGGUUGGGGAGGAGUGUGCGCUCAACAUCUCUCUCCACUUUUUACCAUUGCAACAGCUUUUCUUAGCUCUGGGGUCCAGGAGUGUGUCUCAGCCUUAGUCCUGAAUUCUGGGACAUGCACGAUGGUAUUCUUGCCUGUGGAGAGCUGCUAGUUGAAUUUCUGUGGUGGUGAGUGAUGUCAGUGAAGUCCCAUUCUGGUUUCUCUCUGAUGUCACACUGAGAGCACAGUUUUGGUGAGAAGAUUAUCUUUGUGUAAAAGCAAAGAAGAGAGGAAAGAACCUGCGUUUCUCCUCUGCACUAUCCGCUGCGUUUUUCUGUAGAAUUGGGUGUGCCAUUUGCAAGAGCUGUGUGUGUGCAGCAGAGCAGGCAGCCAACCAAUCCUUGCGGUUCAGUGUGAGUUGGGAGGGAGAAAGCGCAAACCACUAAGUGUAGACAACACGCAGGGAGUUCAUUUGGGAAGUUUAGCGAGUGGUGUCCAAAGCAGAGUUGCUCCCUCAGCACUAUGGGCAGUUUGGGCCACACAAUUCUUUGUUGUUGGGGAGAGAAGGCUGUCCUGUGCCUUGUAGGAGGUUUGGCAGCAUCCCUGGCCUGGACACCCCAUGACAGUGGCAACCCCUCCCCUAGCGGUGACAAACAUAAAGGUCUCUAGAUGUUGCUAAAUGUCCUCUGGUGGGGGUGGGAAGGGCAUUGCCCUGUGUGAGGACCGCUGGUAGAGACUGUUGCAGGGUUCAGAAAAGAGAUUUUUGUUUUUCAGUUGGGACAUACAUGAUCAGUCUUGGGGAAGGAAGCAGAAGCAAUGGUGGAAUAGGACAAAGAUAAAGGAAAGAGGUGGAAAGUGAUGAACACAGACCGCGAUGACCCGGUGUGGGGUGAUAUGGGCGAGGACAGCAUCCAGCGAAGAGGUCCUGGCUCCUGACUGCAAUUUGGUGGCUCUACUGUACCCUGUGCAACGGGUAUAGGUUGGUGCUUAUUUUCUCUCCAUGUGGUCAGAAGUCUCAUCUUCAAAGUGCUUAAGCUGUAGCCCUUGCCCUGUCACCUCUGGUUAUUGCUGGGACCUGGGUCACACUCCUGGUUCAUCUGCUGGCCCCAGGCCGGGUGAGGCUCCCAUGUGCCUGCUGGCCUGAGAAAGGCUUAUGUGAGUCACGGGCUACUAGGGGCAGAGAGAAGGGAACAGGAUGGAGAAAUUAAGUGAGGAAUAAGAUUGUAGAAAGCCAGGAAGAAGCCGAAAGGGGACUUGGCUCUGGCAGCAUUUUGUUUUGCAUCAGUCUGUGCUGGAAUAAGCUGUCGAAAGGUUGUCUACCCAUUGCCCCCUGGUACCUUGUGCUGUGCUCAUUGUUGGCAAAACACUUGAAUGAUUGUGGCCUAAAUGUGCAGUGAUAAAAGACAGAACAUAGCUUUGUUAUUUUUCUAACCAGAAUAGGAGAGUGGCUUUUGGAAUCAAGAUUUAAAAUUCAGCCUUAUCCUCAUGAUUUGCUUGUGUUUUGGCUUGUAUUUUGGCUUGUGCUUGAAAUGACAAGAAGGAUCAAGGGUUUAAAUGUGAUCUUGAGAAGACAUGAGAGAGAGAAUUGAUAUUUUCCUAUCUAAUAUUUAUAUUACUUUCCUGUAUAGAGUAGGCUAAGGAUUUUAUUUGGACGCUAAUUGUAUGUAAUUCCUAUAGCAGUUAUUUUGAUUAAGCCAACUAGAUUUACCUCUAAUUAUUCAUUUUAAGCCCUAGAUUUAAAGAUAACUUUUUAUUCUCUGUAAACAACCUAAAAGUUGCCUUAGAUUUAUUUCAUAAUAUGUAAAAAUGCUGAAAAAGGGCUAGUUUGGCUGGAGAGACAUUUUAAUUUUUCCCUUUAAUUUUAAAUGACAAUAGUGUGUGUAUAGGAGCUGCGUUUCCUACCGAAUAUUCACCUGGUGUGGAGACUGAAUAACAUGCCACUCUAAGGGUUAAUAAAAGCAUUAAAUAACUUGCAUCUGGGAAACAUCAAUUGAAUAGAUAAUUGCUUCUUUGUGUUUCUGCUUAGUAGUGGCUGGACAUGUAAAGUUUCUAUACCACAAAAUGAAAACAGAUGAGCAAACAAGAGGCCCGGGGUCACAUAACCGAUGCGUGCUCAAAGCUCGAAGCAGCGUCAAUCAAACCUGGAGGGUACCAUGUCGAGAGAUGGUAUCUUUCCAUUAAUCAGGAAUUGGUACCCGGGUGAUAGACGGCCUCUGUAAUGAAAACCUCAGUUAGCAAACAGCCAGAAGAGAGAGAAAAUAAUCCAACCAGCCAAAUAAUCAAAGAACACAUGAGGUGUCUGUAGGGAGAUUUCCACAGUGGGAAACCCAUAGAAAAAGUUCUGUCUCUCACUCUUGUUUUUGUUUUUUGGUUUUGGAUACAAUUUCAUUUAAGUAGAAAGAUCAUCCAUGAUUUUCUCAAUCUUCCUUAUGUCUUUUAUGCACUAUACUUGCCAAAGUAGCAUAGACAGAAAAAAAGCAGGAAUCCUAUGGAUUUCCACCCUUAGUCCUUCAACUAACUUUAAAAUAACUUUUAAUUUUCUUAUUCAGGUCUACAUUCUAAGUCACACUCCCCUCCCACAUGUCUUUGCCUGCUAUUUUACUUCAUUAAUAUUUACCAGCUUUUCUGAAUUUAGACACCUAAUUUUGUAUUUUCAUGUAUUUCUCUGCAUAUCCUUCAGAUCCUUAUUUUCCUCAAUAUUCAUGUAAAAUAUAUAAACUAUAAUUUCUGUGUUCUUUUAAGAGAUAGCAAGUACCUAAACAAAGGGGUGUUCUCCCGUGAUUUUUUUAACUCAGCAUUUUUUGCCAGAAAUGGUCAUUUGGGAUUUAUUCCCACGCCCUUGUGUUUUUCCCUCCCCCUCCCCUUUCCCUCCCUUCCCUCCCUUUAUCUUUUUCUCUCUCCCUUCCUCCUGCCCACCCACCCUACAUUUUUCCCUCCCUCCCUUCUUGCUCCCUCCCUCUCUUUCUUCCUCCCUCCCACCCUCCUUUCCUUCUUUUCCUCUCUUUCUUUGUCCUUUCUUCUCUUCCCUCCUCCUUUCCACCCUUUUCCUUUCACCACUAUUUAUUGAGUGCUUAUUGCACAAGAGACUUUGAGUGUCCAGUGCUGGCUUGUGGCAGGACAAGCUGCAGACAAAACCCCUCAGACACCGAGUUGUAGAAGAAAGGGCUUUAUUCGGCUGGGAGCUUCAGCAAGACUCACGUCUCCAACAACCGACCUCCCCAAAUGAGCAAUUCCUGUCCCUUUUAAGGGCUCACAACUCUAAGGGGGUCCGCGUGAGAGGAUCGUGAUCGACUGAGCAAGCUGAGGGUUCAUGACUGGGGGCUGCAUGCACUGGUAGUUAGAACGGAGAAGAACAGGACAGGGAUUUUCACAGUGCUUUUCCAUACAAUAUCUGUAAUCUAUAGUUAACCUGACCGAUUAGGUCAGGGGUCGAUCUUUAACUACCAGGCCCAGGGUGUGGCACUGGGCUGUCUGCCUGUGGAUUUCAUUUCUGCCUUUUAGUUUUUACUUCUUAUUUCUUUGGAGGCAGAAAUUGCGCAUAAGACGAUAUGAGUAGUGGUCUCCUCCCUUAGCUAAGGACUCUGACUCCUCCUUCUGUGGGGCUCCAUGUAUUCUUUCUCAUUGGCAACACUGGGAAUAGCAGGGCCCAGUUGAGUUUGGAGAGUGUUGCUUAGUGCUCUUUAGUUGCAACCAUCUGAAAAUAACAUGAAAAGAAAGGGGAAUUUCCUGAAAAAUGUUGGUGGUAGCAAUGAGAGCAAGGCUCAAAGAAUAAACUGGAAGCUGAGAAACUAGGCUUGAAAAUAGAAAUCAAAGGGACUGGGGAAGCAAGGACCCUGCAUUCGUCUCUGGGCAGGAAGGGUUCGCUCAGCGCACUGGUGCUGCGAUAAAUAUCAUGUGCCUCUGCUGUUCUCUCAUCACGGAUCAAGAGUCCAAGCCUGGAGGGAGAGCGACUGACAGCCAUGGUCUGGUCACACGCCUGCCUGAGAGCUGCACGGGAGCCGGCGAGGAAAAGCCCUUGCUGCUUCCAGUGUAAGGCAGGUGUCUGGAUUUUUCUUCAAGAGAGCCAACACGAUGAAUGAAGGAACUUAAAUCAUGGCACGGUUAGAAAGAAAAGUAGCAAGACAGGAACUACUCCUUCCCUCCAAACAAAAAGAAAAACAAAAUGAGAUAUUCACUGUAAUUAAUAUGAAUUUGCAAGGGAAAUAAUGCAGUAUAUGAUCUCAGUCUCAACUUAUAUCUUUAUUUCAACUAUAUCUACUUCAGAAAGGAUUUGAAGGGUUUCCAAUAAAAGACAAAUAAAAUGUUAUAAAUGGUAGAUAAAUGAAGAUCAAAUAUGACCCUGGUAGAGGUAUGAGAAUUUUGUCUGUCUUGUUCAAGAGCUACACUGGCUGCACCUGAUAUAGUAGAUGCUCAAUAAGUAUCAUUACCUUCUGCCAGGUCCCUCCCAGGACACAUGGGGAUUAUGGGAACUACAAUUCAAGAUGAGAUUUGAUUAGGGACACAGCCAAACCAUAUCAGUAUUAUAUUUUAUUGCAACUAUUGGCUCAAUAGGUGCACUAUGUAUUUUUGUUCAAAGUUAUUGCUCAAGCGUUUACCGUGUAUAUUGUUAACUUAUCACAGUUUAUUCUUAAGUACUAUUAUAUCAUCUCCCAAGUAAUAUAAAAAUCUUACAGCAGUCCUGGCUUUUCGUGGUUCUUAUAUGCAGGAAUUUUUGUUACUGUGCUUUGGUUAGAUAACAUAUAUAAUUCCUUCAUGGACACAGUGCAAAUUUCACUUUCCACAGUGUAUUAACUAUGUGUAAUUUCAUUCAGUACAAAUUUUGAUGCUGGUUUUUAGUACAAAAAUUAGUAAGUAUUUAAUGGACAAGCAUGAUGAUCAGUGAGCAAUCAUGCUGUCUCUGUGAAAGUGUGCUGGUUAUUUGUCGCUGUGUACCUGUGCGUCUGUAUGAAUUUAGUUUAGACAGAUAUCAAGGUGUGUAGUUGUGUAAACUACUUGUCCUCCAGUCAUAAACUCACAUAAUUUAACUUUUAAAGCACCAUCACUGUUGGAUAAGUGUCCAGGUCACCUUUAUUCAUUUGGAUACCUCCAUGAAGAUGUUAAAAAGCCGCUUUUUACUAACAAAUACAACUUUAAUCGUCCAGCUAGUGGACCAAGGAGUUAUUUCAAUGUUUAAAGCCUACUGUCUUAGACAAACUUUUCAACAGACUACUGAAGCUACAACUGGAGAUCAUGCAAUUUUUAAGCGAAGUUUUGAAAGAUAUAUUACUUAAAAAUGCAGUUGAAAUACUUAAGCAUCAUGGCGGCAAAGAAAGUGAGUAAUAUGUGUGUGCAGUACAGCAGAAACUUGUAUUGCUCUGUGAAAAUAACAUGCAGGAUACCAACAGAAUGCAAGUGGAGCUAUUGGCUCAUUUUGCUCCUGCUUGUGCAGAACUUUUCAUGUCAGGCCAUCUCCUGGGCUACUGGUGAGUUUAUGGAUCGGCCCAGCUGUAGUCUAUCCUGUUGUUCCUGAAGUGGGGUGGAGGUCAGCCAGCAGCCUGCAAAAAUGUUAGAAAAUAAGAGUCAAGCAGGACUUCUGAUGCCCCCAGAUCAUGUUAUUGUUAUGAUCAGCCAUCCACAGCAAGUGUCUUAUUUGCAUUAUAUCCGAUGAUAGUGAUGGAUCUGCAUUGCUGUUUGCCUCUUGUAACCCACAGUGUGAGAAUGCAAAAUCCAGGGUUAGGAGUGCAGUCAGUGGCAGUGUGACUAGGUGUUUCUCUGUAGGAUACUAAGAAAAAUACAGCCCAGGAAACUGUUAGUGCUUUCAUUUUGUUUCACUAUAGGUCUGCCUGGAUGAUCAAAACAGAUGGGAAGGAGCCAUGGUGGGGCAAUGAUCCUGUUCUGUUGCCUCCUGGAGAUUCAAGCAUUAUAUAUGGAGAGCUAUCAUCUCUACCCCUCCUCCCGGUUUACUCUCAUGGUGAGCUCAGGUAGAGUUUAGCAGGGAUGUUCAUGUGAAUAUCGUCUGUGUUCGUGAAUAGGCUCGUAUUUCAGUUGCAAGCAACAUGAUAACCUUAAAGUUCAGUUGCUGGUUAAUAACUGUCUUUUUUAUUAAGUUGAUACUGAACUUGAUGUCUUUUUGCAGUACUAACAGAGAUUACUGGUGCUACCUUUUAGCUUUUGAUCAUUUAUGCAAGCCUAGAUCUUUAGCUUUACGUUGUAAAAGGGGUAUUUUUUUCAACAUUUUUUUGGUGAGAGUAUUAAAGUUGACAUUAUUAUGAUCACAAGUGUAAACAGGUAUAUAAGGAAGUGGCGAUACAUUGUUAAGACUGCUGUUAUUCAUGAUGCUUAGCCAAAUGGAGGUGCAAUUAAUACUGCCAUGUAGAACUGGAAUAACGUCAGCUCAGGAACAGCAAGUUUAGAUAGUUUGACUGUAGUGAAUUUUCAUGAAUGGAAUAGUUAAUCAUUUUAGUGGAUCUUGGGGGUCAAUUCAGGCUGUUUUACUUGAUCCACUUCUUAUCAUUAUCCUAACAAAGUCUUCUGAGAUAACACAGCACUGAUAGUUGCUAACAGACUUUAUAUCUACCACGUUAUUAGCAUUUUAUCUUGAUACACUGAUAAAAUAAGCUUCAGGAAUACUUAAAAGAUUGCAAUGGCUUCCAGCUGCCAAAUGCUAGAUUUAAUUAUUUUUUAGGACCAACAUGAGGGUUUAGACACACCACUUGUGGUGCAGCACACAUGUAUUAUCCAAACUGAAAUUAGCAAUUCAACUGAAGUCCAUGUAGAGUCGAAAAAUGUGAAUAUUUGGAGAUGAUCUAGCUCACUUUAUUUUGUAGAAAAGAAAACAGAUUCAGGGAAAGGGCAUGCAUUGCCUAAGGUGAUUCAGCAGGUUUGGAGCAGAAAUGCAAUACAAUCUCUGUUCUUUUGCUUCUCAGAUCCAGAAUUUUUUCACAGUACUGAACUACUUAUGUUUCUGAUUCCUUAUUUUUUCUGUUUUAUAUUUUGCCAAUAUUGUCUUACCAAGAUCCUAUUCUUUACCCCAAAUAUUUAAAUUCAUUACCACUAUUGUCUCUUUAUAAGUAAAAGUACUAGUUGUUAUUAUAAAUGAUUAUUCGAUCACUUUUCAUUUUUUUUUGGGUCCAGCACAAAGUUAGUAACAAAUAAACAUUAUAGGCCUUGGCAAUCCAAGGGGAGCUCAAGUCCUCCAGGGCACGUCAGGAAAAGGCUAAACGACAGCUGAGCUUCGAGUGGACAGAAUACAGCUCUCAUACGGACUGUUGAGUAUUUGAUGUUCUUCAACAAUUUCAUUCAUCUUCAGUUUUUUCCUCUUUGAAGUGAUGGAUUUAGUCCUUGCUAUACUCGACUUUCAAGUUUCUUUUGAAAUAAUUAUAGAUUCACAGGAAGUUGCAAAAGGUACAGGGAUGUCUUAGGUACUCUUCACUAAUUCUCCCAACGGUGACAUCUCGCAUAGCCAUAGAGCAUAUCAAAACCUGGAAACUGACAUAGGUACAAUUCAGAAAGCUUGCUCAGAUCACAACCAUUUUGUACACAUUUGUUUUUGUAUGUAUGUGUGUGUGUAUUUGUGUGCAUGUGUUCUGUGCAUUUUUAUCUCGUGUAGAUCUCUGUAACUACAACCUCGACAGUCAAGAUACAGAACUGUAGCCUCACCGCCAGGCUCCAACUUGCAAUCUUUGUGGACACUCUGACACAUUUUCCUCCAUCCCUUCCCCUUGGCAACCCCAUAGUCUGUUCUCCAUCUUUACAAUUUUAUUUCUAUAAUUCAUAUAAAUGUAAUUGUACAAAAUCGUAUUUUUGAAGGGAAGAAACAAGUCACAGAUAUUUUUGUUAGCACUGCAAAAUAAUCUUUAAUGCUAAUUUAUUCUAUGUUCUAUUUGUCUCAAAAAAUGUGCUUUGUUCUUUCCCAUAUUUUCUGAUAUCAGGAUAGGAAAUCAAUAGCAAACAAAACAUAAUUCCAUUCAUUUUUUUCCACAGCUUGUUUCUCACUGCUGUUUCCUAACGGUUAUUGUUCCAUUUACUCUUUCUCUCUGUUUUCCAUCACAUAAAAGUAACUUUGUGUUCCUUAUCUCUUCUAAGAAAACUUGGUAAUGAGUCUUUAAUUGAAGCCCAGACCACCCUUGUUUUGAUUUUGUGUUAUGGGUGUUCUUUUUUGUGAUCGCUUUCAUGGAGAGUCCUUGUGAAGCUGGGCUUUUCCAAUGGUUUGUCAAAAUGGAAAUAGAUAUUUAACAAACCAAACACAAAAUGACCUUGCUCCAGGAAUGCAUCAUUUCUGAGAAAACACUACCUCUUCCAACUAGAGAUUGUGAAUAUUACUCAUAUUAUCCUUUACUCCCUUUUAUUAAAACUGUAUUUUUUUUACACAUUUGUAUAACUCGGGUAAUGAAAUGUGAAACUAAGUGAUUGCCUACCAAUUACAAUUGAUAUUAACGAUGCUAGUGAGAGGCCACCUCUACAGUGGCUGCGCCGUGUCUAGGGACUUGCUAGCUUUGCUAAGUUACAUGGGAUUGCCUGCGUACUAAAUGCAAACUUACUCAUGUACAUAGGAAACCAUUUGUAUUAAUAUGAUUAAGAAGCCCUGCCUAACCCUGAUGAAAAAUUACUUGAAAAUAACAGAAGACAGAGUCCUUAUUUUAAAGUACAUUAACUAUUGGGAGUAAUUACUAUUAGUCCAACCAUAACUGGAUCUAAUGAGACUGAAUAGAAACAAAUUAGACAUAAUUGGAAGCUAAGCAAAAGUCAAUUAAAUUCCUAUAAUUUUACCUUUAUAAAAAUUAUUGAAUUAAAUGACCCGGAUCAAUUAGCAGAGGAAAUAAAGCCAUGAAGAAUAUUUCCAGGAAACUAUUACCUUUUUUGAGGGAAAAAUAUUGUUUCACUUAAUGAUUAGAGUUUAGUAAAAUGUAGCUUAAUGAAUUUUGCUGCCUUAGCAGUUUAAUAACUUCAAAUGAAGUAAUUAUGCAAAUUUUUUGAUAGUUUUACCUACAAAGUAAUGCAGGAGUUGUUUUAAGGAAUCCAGGAGUAGAAUUUAUUUGAUAGAAUAAAAUAACAUAUUUAUAAAAAUCAGCAAAUUCAGAUGGUUUGGAAUAAAGAUAUGAUUGCUUUUACUCAAUGUUCACUUUAGGGCUGGGUCAGCUGUGUGGGAAUUGCAGUUGACCUGUUGUAGAAAUUGUGUGCUUGGAAAUAUAUCACCACAUUGCUCCAUGUAGACUCCCUCUGUGAUUCAAGUCUUGUUCCUACAGCACUGCUGUCAACCCUCAACCACCGUCACCCUAUAGACCCCAAGUCAGUUUGUAUUCAGUAAUGCAAGUGGUGUUCUGUGCAACUGGUCACCCAAGAACUUGGUGCUAAGAAACUGAGAAAGUGAUGACCAAGACAAUCUCAUCAAAACACAGCCAGGGCCAGUCACAGUAUCGUAAUUUCUGCUUUCUGGAUGUUCAAGGAAAUGUAGAUCAUGGCUCCUUCUGUGAUGCCUCAUUAUCUUCAAAAGGAGCUAUAAGCGUACACUCAUUUCCAAAUGUGAUGGAAUAAGAUCGCAGUUUCAAUGAGGUCCUGAAGGAUAAUUAAUUAUAUAAUAGUUAUCAAAAUAUUAAUUCUGUAAGGACAGUCACAAAGGAAAGAACAGUGGCAAAUAGGUCUCAGGAAAUACAUCAAAUGGGAUGUUCAGGUGUGAUGCAGCUUCGUACAUACUAUGCUAAAUACAUUAUGUCUGUAAUUAAACCAGCUGCAUACACAAUGCAGGUGUGGCAAAUUCUUUGCUGAAACAUGUAUGCCAGUUUCCUCAUUUUUUAAAAUGACAAGUGCAUGCUUAAUCAGGUUAGAGUGGAUAGAUUAUGAUAUUAUCAAUGCACUGGACAAAUCCAUUAAUGAUACAGUGAGAUUUUGUGCAGAAAAAUGGAAUAGAGAGGUGUGAAUCCAAACUUUGAAGAAUAAAGAACAUACAUUUGUAAUUAGGAAAUAUCUCUCACUUUCAUCCCUUAUGUGCCACACAUAGCACAAUCCAGCCCCACCCAGCCAUGACUCUUACAUUUAUCACUCCUGACAAAGCCGGCCUGGCAAUUCAGACCCGGAGCCCGGAGAAAAAAGAGGAAUCCCAUGAUUUCUGGCAAACACUGCUGCUUCUUUUGUAGUGGUGUGAGAUGAAUGCCUCUACAUGCACACAAGUGCCAUGUUGAGGGGGAUGAAUCUUUCAAGAUUUGUUUAAAGUCAAAUAAUGUGAAGGUCCAUGACUGACCUCCAGGCCUCUCAGAGCUUCAGUUAACUCCUUUGUGUUAGGGGAUGUUAGAAGAACGUUUACAAGUCAGAGCAGGUGAUGCUCAGGAGCAAGAGUGAAUGAGGAGGAGGAACCCAAACAGGUCCAGCACAGAACAUCAGCAUCUGAGCAUGAAGUCUACCCCUGAGAAAAAGUGGUCCAAAGGUUUGUGUGAACCCCAUUCUCCAGGCCUUACAAACCCUGUGAUUUCUGCCUCAUUCUGUCCCGUCCUGUCACUUUGAGUCUGAAUUGGAAGAGAGAAAAACAGUAACUAGAUUAGUAAAGUAAGGAGGAGUGAAGAGCAGGAAGGUGGAGGUCGUGGUGGUGGAAGAUGGAAACCUCUGCGAGUGAAAUAGAACAGUUUGGAUGUCAGCUGUGACUGCUCUAGAUCUCCUAAAACCCACUCCAUUUUUAUUAAAAAUAUACAUUGCAUUUUUCCAGUGUACACGAUAUCAUGUUAAGAGUUCAUAAAGUUUUGAGGAUGUGAGUCAUCAGAAAGGAGGUUUAAAGAACCGAUUAUUUUGGUGGUCUGACUCCUUUACCCCAGUAGGAAAAGCUGCCAUUUUGCUUAUGCCCUGUGCUGAAUCUCAGAAUGCCUGUCAACCCAACACGCUUCAGCAUGAACUUUAACUCAAAAAAUCAAAAAGUACCAGGAUCAAUUUACAAUCCUAGCUAUAUGAUAUUUUAGAAAUUACAAAGCCUGUAAAUGAGCUAUUUUGUCAACUUCAUAGAUGAGAAAUCUAAGAGUGGGUUAGUAAGUUCUCUUAGAUUUCUCAUAUCCAUAAAGUGGAUAGAACAUCUAAUUUAGAGGCUUGUUGAAGGACAGACAGAAAUGGCAUUUAUAAAGUAUCUAGUGAAACUACUGCUAGGGAUUAUAUGCUCAGUAAAUGAUGAGCACUAUAAUCACAAAUAAUUUGAUCUUUGCCAGUGUAAAAUGUAUUUGUCUGUCUGCUUGGUUUUUCUCGGAGGCAUAGUUUCCCUCUGUCACUCAGGCUGGAGUGCAGUGCUGUGCUCACUGCAACCUCUGCCUCCCAGGUUCAAGUGAUUCUCCUGCCUCAGCUGGGAUUGCAGGAGCCCGCCACCAUGGCCCAACUAAUUUUUGAGUUUUUACUAGAGAUGGGAUUUCACCAUGUUACCCAGGAUGGCCUUGAACUCUUGGCCUCAAGCGAUCCAUCCACCUUGGCCUCCGAAAGUGCUGGGAUUACAGGCGUGAGCCACUAUGCCCGGCCACAUUUAUGUUAAUUCAGAGAACAAUUUUUCAGUAAGGUUGUACAAAUGAUUGUCCUACAUUCCUGCAUGUUUGAAACUCUUUUUCUCUUUUCAUCUCCAUAUGUGAAUGACAGUUUGGCUAGGUAUAGAAUGCUUGGUUUACACUUUUUAUUGUUCAUAAAUCUAUAGUCUUAUCUUUGUUUCUAUCCUCUAUACCAGCUUGAGUAGGAUUAAGUGUGGGAUUCACUAUAAAACUCUAUACCCACUGAACAAGUCCUCUUUUCCCCCUCCGCUAGUCCCUGGCACCUGUCAUUUUACGUCUCUGUUUCUAAGAGUUUGACUACUUUAAAAACCUCAUAUAAGAAGGAUCAUGCAGCACUGUGUUUGUAUUUUUGUGACUGGUUUAUUUCACUUAGUAUAGUAUCCCCAAGGUUUAUCUAUGUUAUGACAUAUGACACGAUUUCUUUCUUUUUUAAGGCUGAAUAAUAAUUUAUUGUGUAUAUACCACUUUUUAAAAUCCAUUCAUCUCUUGACAGAUAUUUAGGUUGCUUUUACCUCUUGGCUAUUAUGAAUAAUGCUGCAAUGAACAUGAGAUGAACAAGCUCCUUUUUUAUCUCUUUACUUUUGUUAGAAGCUUUUAAUUCCUGAUUAAUGAGUUCUGAAUGUAUGCAGAGGUCUCUACCUGGCAGUGACCUAAAAGCCUUGUCUUCUGCCACCCUGCUCAGCCUUCAGAUUCAAGUCUCUAGAUUCUUGAGGUUGGGAAAUGUUUCCGGAGCAGCCAUGGUUUUGCAUUCAUUGGCCAUUCAGGUUUUCUGCUUUGCCGUUUCCCCCCCAUUCAGGUUUUCUGCUUUGCCAUUUCCCCGGGGGUUUCCUUACCCUCUUGGAAGAACAACCAUGCAUUAAGUCCAUGUUGACUGUAUUUUACCUGCUGUUUCUAUGUGUUUUGCAAUAAGGGCUUUUCAAAAUACCCAUAACUUGUGGCUAAAAAUGAGGUUUGUUCCAAUGUGCCUUAGAAAGAUCCAGUUUCAUACUUACCUGGCAGGGCAGAUACCAUGAUCUUAAAGGCAGUUUUCCCAGGGCAAGGCUUAUCCAUUCCACUCUGGAUCCAUUAUAGGGGCAUGCUGAUCCCUGGAAUUGCCCCAAAUGUGGGAAGCUCUACUGCAAAAUUUUUGGUAGUGAGCGAUGGCAUUAUGCAUUCAUGUACGAAUUCAACUGAGUAUCCAGUUUCAUACAAAUAAUAAUAACAUCUUCUAUAAAAUGUAUUCUUGUGUAUUAACACAUGGGGCUCUGUAGUACUCCAGCUGAGAUAUAUGGGAAUCUUACCCUAGUUUUGCCAUUUUCUCCUAACAUCAGUCUACUUCUUUUAAUAUUCAUUGCUUCUCCCCAUUUCUGUAGUUCAGUGCAUGUUCCUUUCCUCUGCAGGAACUACUUCUCUUUCCUCACCCAACUCAUAAAUCUCUGCCUCCCACCCUAAGGGUAGGCACAUGACCCAACCUGGGAGAUCAGAAUGCCACACCCCCAAUACAGGAUUGGUUUGUGAGUAGGCAGAUGAUUCUGUCCAUGCACAGAACUAAGUAGAAGAGAGUUUUUACACCUCAGCUUAGCUUGAUGCUAGCAGAGAGCUACUGGAGUUCUAUUUCCUCCUCUAGGGAAGAAAAGGAUUUUGGUUUGGAGAUAAAGCCAAGAUACCAAGAAAGUGGGAAUGAAAGACUUAGAGACAGGGAGUCCUGGCCCCUUUUCAGAUGCUCAGAUGCUGGCACUAGCUUGAGGCCCAGUCCUGCUUCUGCUCUUCCCAACAGCCCCUUUUCAGAUGUUGGCACUAGCUUGAGGCCCAGCUCUACUUCUGCUCUUCUCAACAUUUGGUAAGGGGAGCUCCCAAUUUCUUUUCUAAGAUAGCUGGUUUGACUUGGAUAUCCAUCUCUUCUAAUCAAGGGUCCUGAUUCCUUGUCAUUGUCAUCAAAAAAAUAUUUGUAAAUAUUUCACUUCUCGCUGGUGUUGAACAAAGUGAUUUGCACAGAUACAAUCUCUGCAUCUUAAUAGCUUACAUUCUAAGAGCUGUACACCUGGCACUCUUUCUCUGGAACUAUAACUGCUAAGUUCACGAAUCUUUAUUAAUAAUGCUUUUCAGAUAUAUAGUUAAAAAAUAAUUUUAAUAGUUGAAAGGCAUCCAUCUUUCCAAGAGGUUCAGACAUACUGCAAUUGAGUGCUAAGUAACUUUUAUUUUGUAUUUUUUAAUAUUUGUAUUUCCAUAGGUUAUUGGGGAACAAGUGGUACUCAAGAUGGAUGAAGGACUUAAAUCCAAGACAAGAAACUAUAAAAAUUCUAAAAGACAACAUUGGAAAAACUCUUCUAGACAUUGGCUUAGGCAAGGAUUUCACGAACAAGAACCCAUAAGCAAACGCAAUAAGAACAAAAAUAAAUAGCUGGGACCUAAUCAAACUAAAGAGCUUUUGCACAGCAAAAGGAACAGUCAGCAGAGUAAACAGACAACACACAGAGUGGGAGAAAAUCUUCACAAUCUAUACAUCUGACAAAGGACUGAUAUCCAGAAUCUACAAUGGACUCAAACAAAUUAGCAAGAAACAAAUAAUCCCAUCAAAAAGUGGGCUAAGGACAUGAAUAGACUUUUAGGUAUUUGUGUGUGCAGACCUCUUGGUGUCAAGGCUAAACUGUUCCUUUCUCUGACACAUGGGAAAUUGAUGCACAAUACCUUGCAGUGUAUAAUUCCAGGCCCCUAGGCACUGGAGACUGGGUUAUCUUUUCACUCAACUGACAGUUGAUACAUUGUUUGCACUGAAAAAUCUGGCUUUGUUGAACCACACCAGUUUAUGUUUUUAAUUCCAAAUCUUACCUUGUUAUGAACUAUUUUUUUGUCCUUUCCUCUAGAGAAAUGCUAAUGCUGCUUGCUUACAUGGAAAGUAAAGUUAAGGAGUUGGUGUUGACAUUUUGGCUUGCUGUCACAGGCAAAAAAGAAUAGUGCUGUUUUUGUGUGUUUAAUUUUCUUUCACUUUCCCCACUCUGUGUAUUGGAGGAUGCCUUUAGCAAUAAGUAGUCCUUAUCCAGGUCACUCACUCAUUAACCGCCAACCACUGACAGUAAUGUCUUUACUAGAUAUUUUGCUUCUUUUGAUUAAUUUGUCUCUAUUUCCUUUGUUCUAAAGCCUAUAGUGAGUAAUCAUAUUUGGAGUAAUAGCAGAGCUCCCUGCUGUGUUUUCAUUUGCUUAAAUCAAGACUUAGCUGCUGUAUUGAGGAACCAAGACUGAGAUGUGGGGCUAGGAGGGCCUAGGGUCUGUCAGGCACUCUUCAGUGACUUGAGGUGCUGAAUGACUCACACUGUACUGGGAGAUGACCACCUGUGUGCAUCCAACACAGUCACAGAUAGUGCCAUUGAGCCACCAGGAGCAGCCACAGACCAUCAGUGGUUGUGCUUUGGAAUACGCAAUUUUGUGUUUCUGGUGAGCUGUAAUCUUUUCUUUUCCCAUAGAAUUAUUUUUCAUUGAAUUAUGCUAUUAAAACUCAUCUUUGGGUUUCUUGUAACGUCAUUGCCGAGAACGUUAUUUUUGCAUUUCACAGUGAUUUCUUGAGGAGGAAGUAAGAAGUAAUUGUUUUCUGGACUCACUGUCUGAAAAACUUGCACUUUACUGAAGCGAUUGUUUUGUUUACACUAAGUAACAAUAUGAGUUUUGUUAGCUUUUUGGAUGGACUACAAAGCAUAAAACCAACUUUGUUCCUCAUCUCUGGCAAAGAUGGAGGGUUGUUGGCUUGUGUUGUGUGAUGAGUCUUAUACCUGGCUCUGUCUGCUCUUGCCUUUUGCCUUACAUUUCAAAGACCUCACUUUUUUCUUUUCUUUUUUUAAAAAAUAUUUUAUCACAUGAUUUUCUAUACAUUUUAAUAAAAUUUCUUUUUUGUAAAAAAAGCAAAGCAUAAAUAAAAUAGGGUAGCCAUUUCUUCUAAGGUUAUGUUGAAUCUAACCCAAACUCUUAUCAGAGAAAACUCUGCUUUAGAUGUAGCCUAAAGCAGGAAGCAACAAACCUGUAUACAGCCAAAGUAUCAUCUCAAGGGCCUGCAUUCAAAUCUCACACAUGUGGCUUGAAAGUGAUCUCUUUUGCCCUUAUUUCAAGGCCUAAUCUUAGGUUACAUAGUACUUAAAGAAGCUUCAGUAUGCAAUUUCAAAGCCUGUAGUAGAUGUAAAAUGAGAAAAUUAGAAAUAAGGAGAAAAGCUGCUACAUGAGGACACUGACAGCAAGGAAAGGGAGAGAAAAACUCACAAAGUAAGUGGAAAAAUAGACCAAUGCAAAUAACCCCACAUAGUUUAACAGACCUCAUCAUAUCUAUUGUGUACAUGUUUGUAUGACAUAGAUUAUAUCUAUUAUAUGUAAUCCAGUGUUCAUAGUGUUGACUUAGAAAUUAUCAACCAAAUUCAAAGCUUUUAGGCUUUGAAAAUUGUUUGAAAAGAUUUUCACCCAAAAUAUUUAAAUUAUUAAAAAAAAUUAUUGUUGAUUAAAGUUGUAAUCCUCAAUUAAUUAGAAGUUUUGGCUAUCCAGAGACCUUAUAUUCCAAAGACUUUAGAGAGUUGUUUGUUAGAUCACAUAAAUUAUUACCAAUAUCCUACAUUUAAGCUUCUAAUUUACGUAAAUUGUGAGCAAAAUUGAGAGCCACACAAAUAUUCAAUCUCUGAAGCUCUUAUGGCAGCAUUGAUCAAAUAGGUUAGAGAACACAUGGAUACAGCUUUAUUGCCUUCUAGUUUUACUGCAAACGUGUUAUUUAAUAGUAUGCAAAUGAUUGGCUAGAUGUACAGACUGCCAGGGCCUUCAUAGCAAACAGGUUUUGUGUUUACCCUAGCAUACAAAAAUGCUUCAUCUACGAUGUAUGCUGUAACUGUGUGUAUUGUCUACCCUAGCAUGCAAAAAUGCUUCAUCUAAAAUGUAUGCUAUAACUAUGUGUAUUAUAUUAUCUAUAAUUAUAUUUCUCCUUGGUUUAAUAUUAGAUAUUUUCAGGUACAAGAAAUGUAUGCACAUUAUAGAUUCAAUGCAUGUAGGUUAUAUGUGUAAAUAUUUAUUGAUAAGAGGCAUUAAACCCCUGCCUUCUAUGCUGGAUAAACUCCUGAACUUAGCCUCCAAAACACCACAGUAGCCUCCCUGGUAAGCACAGGGCUCUUUCUCUACCCUUUUGUGUCUCCCACGCUCCCACUUGUCUACAAGAGCUGAGUGUAGACCAAGAGCAAUAAAGUUCAUUUCCCCAAAAUAAGGCGUAGCAUUCAGGUUUUGUGAUACCUGAUUGGUUUACAUUGUUUACAGGUGGGGCCUCGAAGGGGUAAAAAUCAGAAGCUUCUUAUUCUGAGCGCAAGGGCAAGAUCAUUGAGCAGACAUUGACCUCCCUUCAGACAUUUCUUGGGAGGAACAGAAUGAGAAUUUCAGGGGCCAGUGCCUGCACCCUACUAGCUGUGGCAGCCUGGUGCUCAUCUACUUCUCCAGCUUGGGAAGGCCUAGGUUAACCCCAGUCUUUGGAGGCAUUGUUAUUCCUCUUCUCUCCCUGCUUCCCCGUGUUUGUGUUCUGGGCCCGGUGUAACACUGAGGUUCAGAAUUGCUUUCAAGAGAGGAGCCCAUUUCUGUGUCUAUGCAAGGCUGGACAAUUUCUCCAAGUGGUUCAGCCUGUGGGGGUUAACGGGGCAAAAGCAUCUCAGCUAGUAAUAAACACUGCUUCGCCUCUUGCUUUUUUAUUUUUAUUUUUGCAAAACUUCUCUGUAGGUGUGUAUUUCUCUAGAGGAUUUCAAAAAUUCUCUGUAGGUGCGUAUUUCUGUAGAGGAAGGAGUGGUGACUGGGCCAGGGUGAAUGGAUUAUUUGAUCUAUAUUAUCUUGAAUUUUAUAUCUUUUAUUUUAAAAUUUGGGUGUUUUUUGAAGUAGGAAAUCAAUGCACAUGGCUGAAUAUCUAAAAAGUGUAAAAGUAUACAUUGAAAAGUCUUCCUCCUAAUCUCGUGAUUGUCUUCGUUUCAGUCCCCAUGGCCACAUCAUGAGGCUACUGAUGUCAUUAGUUUCUUUUGCGUUCUUCUAGGGUUUCUGUUGGCAUAUGCAAGCAACAAUAAAUGUAUACCUUUAUGUUUUCUCUUUUUACAGCAAGGACAGUUUAUUAAACACACUGUUUUAAACCUUAUUUUUUCUCUAAAUAAUAUUUCAUAUAAGUCAGUAUGUAGACUUUAUGUAUUUUUAAAAUGAAGACAUAGCGUUCCACUGAACUUAGACAAUAAUUUACUUAACUAGUCCAAGAUUGAAGAAUAAAAUUAUUUUGAAUCUUUUGUUAAUAGUUAAUAGCUUUGAUGAGUACACUUAUGCAUACAUUAUUUUACACAUGUUCAAGUAUGUUGUAUAAACCCCAAAGUGGGAAUGCUCUGUCAAAUAUUACAGGUAUUUGCAACUUUGAUAGAUACUAAUUGCCCUCGAUAGAGGUAGUAAAAGCUUACACUCCACAGCCUUACUGAUGAUAUAUAUUAUAAAACUUUUAGUUCUUGCCAAUCUAAACGUGAAAAAUGGUAUUUCAUGGUAAUUUAAAUGCUUUUCUCGUUUUAUAACUGAGGUUGACAUCUAUCAAAAAAUUAUUUGAAUUUUUCUGAGAACUAUUAAUCUUUGAAUCCUUUUCUGUUGUUUAUCUUUUCCUUCUUCAUUUCUAAAAGUUCCUAUACAGAGAGAUUCACCCGUUAUCUGUGAUAUGAUUACAAAUGUCUGCCCUCCAAUUUGUUAUAUGUCUUUAGAUCCAAAUACCUUAUUUUUUGCCAUGUAGAAAUUUUUAAUUUGUAUGUGAUAAAAUGUUAAUACUUUAUGGAUUCUGGAUUUUCAGAAAUAAAAAGGUCAUCCUCACUUCCAGGUUUUAAAGAAAUUCUUUAAUGUUAUUUUA